GAAAUGCGAUAAGUAAUGUGAAUUGCGGAAUUCAGUGAAUCAUCGAAUCUUUGAACGCACCUUGCGCUCCUUGGUAUUCCUUGGAGCAUGCCUGUUUGAGUAUCAUGAAAUCUUCAAAGUAAAUCUUUUGUUAACUCAAUUGGUUUCUACUUUGGUAUUGGAGGUCUUUGCAGCUUCACACCUGCUCCUCUUUGUUCAUUAGCUGGAUCUCAGUGUUAUGCUUGGUUCCACUCGGCGUGAUAAGUUAUCUAUCGCUGAGGACACUGUAAAAGGUGGCCAAGGUAAAUGCAGAUGAACCGCUUCUAAUAGUCCAUUGACUUGGACAAUACUUUUAUGAUCUGAUCUCAAAUCAGGUAGGACUACCCGCUGAACUUAAGC
rnacentral:misc_RNA from 1 species